rnacentral:rRNA from 2 species
AGAGUUUGAUCCUGGCUCAGAACGAACGCUGGCGGCAGGCUUAACACAUGCAAGUCGAACGCUCCGCAAGGGGAGUGGCAGACGGGUGAGUAACGCGUGGGAACAUACCCCUCGGUUCGGAAUAACUCAGGGAAACUUGAGCUAAUACCGAAUACGGUCGAGAGGCGAAAGAUUUAUCGCCGAGGGAUUGGCCCGCGUCCGAUUAGCUAGUUGGUGAGGUAAUGGCUCACCAAGGCGACGAUCGGUAGCUGGUCUGAGAGGAUGAUCAGCCACAUUGGGACUGAGACACGGCCCAAACUCCUACGGGAGGCAGCAGUGGGGAAUAUUGGACAAUGGGCGAAAGCCUGAUCCAGCCAUGCCGCGUGAGUGAUGACGGCCUUAGGGUUGUAAAGCUCUUUCAUCAGGGACGAUAAUGACGGUACCUGAAGAAGAAGCCCCGGCUAACUUCGUGCCAGCAGCCGCGGUAAUACGAAGGGGGCUAGCGUUGUUCGGAAUUACUGGGCGUAAAGCGCAUGUAGGCGGGUCUUUAAGUCAGGGGUGAAAUGCCAAGGCUCAACCUUGGAACUGCCUUUGAUACUGGAGAUCUUGAGUCCGGGAGAGGUGAGUGGAACUGCGAGUGUAGAGGUGAAAUUCGUAGAUAUUCGCAAGAACACCAGUGGCGAAGGCGGCUCACUGGCCCGGUACUGACGCUGAGAUGCGAAAGCGUGGGGAGCAAACAGGAUUAGAUACCCUGGUAGUCCACGCUGUAAACGAUGGAUGCUAGCCGUUAGGCAGCUUGCUGCUUAGUGGCGCAGUUAACACUUUAAGCAUCCCGCCUGGGGAGUACGGUCGCAAGAUUAAAACUCAAAGGAAUUGACGG